CUUCAACGUCCACAUCAAUGUGAAGAUAAUCGAAAAAAAGCAGAGCCCCGGCAGACUGGAGGGGGUCCACCUCUGCAGCCCUCACAGAGGCUGAGGAGAUGGCCCUGAGCCAACAGAGUAUGGGUCCUGUGGCUGAGGGCAUCCCUGGGGGGAGCUCCUCUGAUCCCCCCCACCCCCCAGGAUAGAAGUGCCUUUAUAAGAGUUACUGAUGGCGUCAUCGCCCUACUUGAACCAGAUGCCCUCACCAACCUCCAUGCAAUUGAAGAUGAUGGAGAAAAAUUGUCUGCGGCAUUCGAAAGGGAAGAGGAAAGGCCUAUUGAGGUUAACACCUUUUAAAAAUAACCUCUAAAAGUUGAUGAUAGCGUUGUACAAUUUAAAAAUGAC
ensembl:lncRNA